rnacentral:rRNA from 1 species
GUCAAGAAUCUUCCACAAUGGGGGAAACCCUGAUGGAGCGACACCGCGUGGGGGAAGAAGGCCUUCGGGUCGUAAACCCCUUUUGCACGGGACGAAGUAAUUGACGGUACCGUGAGAAUAAGAGGUUGCUAACUCUGUGCCAGCAGCAGCGGUAAUACAGAGACCUCAAGCGUUAUCCGGAUUUACUGGGCGUAAAGCGUCCGCAGGUGGUUCCAUAAGUCAUUCGUCAAAUCCUGGUGCUCAACAUCAGGGCUGCGGGUGAAACUAUGGAACUUGAGGCUGGGAGAGGGAAGGGGAACUGCCGGUGUAGUAGUAAAAUGCGUUAAUAUCGGCAGGAACACCAAAGGCGAAGGCACCUUCCUGGAACAGUCCUGACACUCAGGGACGAAAGCGUGGGGAGCAAAACGGAUUAGAAACCCUAGUAGUCC